UCACGAACUUGCCUUGGAUCUCCAAUCCUCUAACCCCUGCGCCGCCAAGGAAGAGAGUUUUGUUUGAGGCCGGAGGUUUGACGGCCGGCGAGAAAGCUACGUUUUCGACGUUAAUAUGAGUAAGGGAAGUUGCUGCCGGAGACAUCGUUGUUAUGUUUUCACUGGGAGUGUUUCCGUUUCGAAGAGGUGAAACGCCUCGUUUUAUAGCGAGAACAGGGGAGUUGGUUAGCUAGUAAAAUCGGGAAGCCAACGGGCGUUUACAAGGCGACAGGAAAGGGAAGCAGAGAAGAGUAAAUAGAUCGUUUAGAUAGUGUGGAGUAGAUGG
rnacentral:misc_RNA from 1 species